rnacentral:lncRNA from 1 species
AAGGACCUGAAUGGACAUUUCUCAAAAGAAGAUAUGCAUAUGGCCAACAGGAAUAUGAAAAGAUGCUUGGAAUCACUAAUUAUCAGGGAAAGGCAAAUUAAAACCAUAAUGACACAUCAAUUCAUACCUAAUAGAAUGUGCAUUAUUGGUGGAAAUGUAAAUUAGUACAGCCAUUAAGAGAAACAGUAUGGGAAUUCCUCAAGUAGUUUUAACGUAUACAACUACCAUAUGAUUCAGUAAUUCUCAAGCAUUCUCAAGUACAAAAUUCUUUAAGUACUGCUUUGUAUCAUUCUCUUUCUCUCUUCUCCUUCUGGGACUCCAAAUAUAUGCAUUUAAAACCUUUCAACUGUGUUCCACCUAUCU